rnacentral:rRNA from 1 species
GCGGCACGCUUAACACAUGCAAGUCGAACGAGAGAAGAGAAGCUUGCUUUUCUGAUCUAGUGGCGGACGGGUGAGUAACACGUGAGCAAUCUGCCUUUCAGAGGGGGAUACCGAUUGGAAACGAUCGUUAAUACCGCAUAAUAUAAUUGAACCGCAUGAUUUGAUUAUCAAAGAUUUAUCGCUGAAAGAUGAGCUCGCGUCUGAUUAGCUAGUUGGUAAGGUAACGGCUUACCAAGGCGACGAUCAGUAGCCGGACUGAGAGGUUGAUUGGCCACAUUGGGACUGAGACACGGCCCAGACUCCUACGGGAGGCAGCAGUGGGGAAUAUUGCACAAUGGAGGAAACUCUGAUGCAGCGAUGCCGCGUGAGGGAAGAAGGUUUUAGGAUUGUAAACCUCUGUCUUCAGGGACGAAAAAAGACGGUACCUGAGGAGGAAGCUCCGGCUAACUACGUGCCAGCAGCCGCGGUAAUACGUAGGGAGCGAGCGUUGUCCGGAAUUACUGGGUGUAAAGGGAGCGUAGGCGGGAUCGCAAGUCAGAUGUGAAAACUAUGGGCUUAACCCAUAAACUGCAUUUGAAACUGUGGUUCUUGAGUGAAGUAGAGGUAAGCGGAAUUCCUAGUGUAGCGGUGAAAUGCGUAGAUAUUAGGAGGAACAUCAGUGGCGAAGGCGGCUUACUGGGCUUUAACUGACGCUGAGGCUCGAAAGCGUGGGGAGCAAACAGGAUUAGAUACCCUGGUAGUCCACGCCGUAAACGAUGGUUACUAGGUGUGGGGGGACUGACCCCUUCCGUGCCGCAGCAAACGCAAUAAGUAAUCCACCUGGGGAGUACGACCGCAAGGUUGAAACUCAAAGGAAUUGACGGGGGCCCGCACAAGCAGUGGAGUAUGUGGAUUAAUUCGAAGCAACGCGAAGAACCUUACCAGGUCUUGACAUCGUAUGCAUAGCUCAGAGAUGAGUGAAAUCUCUUCGGAGACAUAUAGACAGGUGGUGCAUGGUUGUCGUCAGCUCGUGUCGUGAGAUGUUGGGUUAAGUCCCGCAACGAGCGCAACCCUUACCGUUAGUUGCUACGCAAGAGCACUCUAGCAGGACUGCCGUUGACAAAACGGAGGAAGGUGGGGAUGACGUCAAAUCAUCAUGCCCCUUAUGACCUGGGCCUCACACGUACUACAAUGGCUGUCAACAGAGGGAAGCAAAGCCGCGAGGUGGAGCAAACCCCUAAAAGCAGUCUUAGUUCGGAUUGUAGGCUGCAACCCGCCUACAUGAAGUCGGAAUUGCUAGUAAUCGCAGAUCAGCAUGCUGCGGUGAAUACGUUCCCGGGCCUUGCACA